CUAUAAGAAAAAAACACAAUGGUGUGAGUGGCAGAAACCGAGAACCAGGAAAGUAUAAGAUAAGAGGAACGGUCUUACUGAGUUGAGCAGGGUAUGAGCUGGAGGGAGAGGCAAGUCAGGCUGAUGCAGGGGUGGAGGUUGUCGCAGGAGAACGGUUAGAUCCAGAAAGGCAGGUGAGCGGUGGAGAGCGGAGGCCAGGGAAUCGAACAGCGCCGAGAUGAAAAAAAACACACACUUCAGGCAGGCGGAGAGUUUCCAGGACUGGGGCAGACAAAAACGCAGAUCAGGUUGAGCAGACAAACUAGUUUUCAGGUCUCUCUGAUUUAGGACAGGAUUUACCCAACAAUUGAGUAUCAGCCAGCGUUGAAGUGUGGGAGCGCUGUUCCUUAAAUCCUCUGGCCAAGCUGGAGUUAAUUGGCUUCAGCUGCAGCUCCCCAACACACUCACCUGCAAACAAUGAAUGACAAAACACAGCAGAAGACAGCAGAACCAUGACAAAAACAACUUCCGAACUGGAAAAACUAAUGUGGCAAAGUGGGGAAACGAGGGCCCGGGCGGGAUUCGAUUCCCAGACUCCCGGGUGAGAGUCAUACACUCUAACCAGUCAGCCAAAAGGACAUCCCCUUGGCCAAGUAGCCAGGGCGCAUGAUCAAUCGGGACAUUGUGACAGGACGCUCACACUGCCACAUCUUCCCCCCUCUUUCCACAAGCACGUCCUCGUGCUCCCGCGCAGGGUGCCACAAACACUGCCACACUAAUAUCUGCGAUAAACAUCUGUUUAAGUACCGGAAGAGGUUAUCUUUGCUUUCUGAAUGUCCAUAUUGCUAGAUAUGCUGAGUUUUAGGGCGAAAUCCCGGGGAAUUUUGUCUAGAAAUGCAAUUACCUAACAGUGCGCGAUCCCGCGGUGGCUAAUCAUUUUUUGGCAGCGAGUCGAUUUAUGGCACAACACCGGCUCGGGUUUCUCCUCCUCCUCCCUCUUUUCUUCUCCAACCUGUCGCUGGGCUGAGGCUCCAUCACUUCCUAAAUUGAUUUUACUUGAACCUUCACUACCAAACAACUGUGAGAUUUUAACACAUGUGCCAGCAUCAGCCUGAAGGGCCAGUUUCUUUUUUAGUCGAAUUUUCUCCGCUCCUCCUUUCCGUUUUUUGUUCUCCAUUUUGUAAAGCUCACCUGUCUGUUUACUGAGAUUCACAAACAACUGGCGGGUGCAUCAGACCUCUGGCUAUUGGUCCAGCCCAGAGUGUAUUAUUACCAAUUGGCCAAUCCACCAACUUUUACGAGGCGUCGCGUGGGGCGGCGCGGACAAGUUGUCCGCAACAACUAGAGGCCAGAAAAAAAAAAAAAAAAAACCAGACACCGGCCCAUAAAAGAUGAAAGGGUCGGCCCAGCAGGCAGUUGCCCGCUAUGCCCUAUGGUCAGUCCAGCGCUGCCCCCAGCAGGUCCCUGAGGUCCAGUGAUCAGUCUACUGGUUGUGCAGCACCAGGCUAAAGACCAAAGGUCAUUUCCCUCAGUUUUUCUCCUUUUCUAGUUCAAUGUCACUUUCGUGAAGCACAUUUGUAUUCCUGGACUUAUUUUCACACAAAACUUAAAAUAUAGUUUCCCCCUGUUCGAAAAUAAGAGGUUUCUUAGUACCAAAAUGCAUCUUUAAAAUUCACAAACAUCAUAUGUGAAAUCCAUGGCACAUAACAAGUGCAAUUAGAACAUUGUGUCACACCCUGCCAAGAGCCCAGCUCUAUUGUUUCCUGUUUUCUUUUUACAUCCUCCUCGGUGCCACUUCCUGUCCUUCGUUAACCUGAUUCCCAGCUGUUUACUUGUAUUUAACCUCUCUCUGUUCUCCUUUCAGUUGCCAGUGCGUUGUUGUCUUCUAGCACUUCGUUCCAGCCGUGAUCUUCCUCUCUCUGAUGUUUUCAUAUCACUUCCCAGACCAUCUGUUAUUUUAGGAUGCUUGGCCCAGUCUUCCACCACGCUGCCCUGUGGCAACAAACCUGAGCUCUUCUGUGGAGAGAGAACUUCCUGCACACAAAAACGUGCAAAAACACCCUAGAAAGCAGGAUUUGGCAUGUAUUUUUUUUUUUCAGAAUGAUGGUUCCCAUCUGGGUCCUGAAAUAUAAAAAUUUGCUUCAGGGUCAGUUUGGGAUUUUCAGCAUCACAGGACUGCAUCUCUGUCUCUGGAACAGAGAUGAAAUCCAUCUGGAGUAAAAACUGAUUGUUGCUGCUCAUGCUCACAAACUUGAAAACUGUAAAAAAAUUCAGAAGCAAGAAGCACAGAGACAAGACAUCCUUUUUAAAGGAAAAGGGAGUAUGUUUCGGCUGUCUGAGUUUUGGACACAUCAGUCGUAAUUGUACGAAACGUUUGAACUGUGAGACAUGUGGACAACAGCAUCCUUCUGUGCUUCACAUAGCUAAAACUGAUCACUCAUCAUCACCUAUCAAACUUGUAUCAACUCCCACACAGACUGUGGUGAUACAGGGGCCGGAAAAGGUGACUGUUUGUUGUCUAUUGUUCCAGUGCAAGUUAGUAAAUCCAUUAAAGGAAAUAAAGUUGUCCAAACAUAUGCAUUCCU